UUUCAAUCACAUGACUGGCGGAAGUGGAGUUACCACAUGGAGUGUGAUUGUGAAAUGCCGACCGCCUGGGCGCAAGUU
rnacentral:ncRNA from 2 species